rnacentral:rRNA from 1 species
UAGGGAAUCUUCGGCAAUGGACGAAAGUCUGACCGAGCAACGCCGCGUGAGUGAAGAAGGUUUUCGGAUCGUAAAACUCUGUUGUUAGAGAAGAACAAGGACGUUAGUAACUGAACGUCCCCUGACGGUAUCUAACCAGAAAGCCACGGCUAACUACGUGCCAGCAGCCGCGGUAAUACGUAGGUGGCAAGCGUUGUCCGGAUUUAUCGGGCGUAAAGCGAGCGCAGGCGGUUUCUUAAGUCUGAUGUGAAAGCCCCCGGCUCAACCGGGGAGGGUCAUUGGAAACUGGGAGACUUGAGUGCAGAAGAGGGGAGUGGAAUUCCAUGUGUAGCGGUGAAAUGCGUAGAUAUAUGGAGGAACACCAGUGGCGAAGGCGGCUCUCUGGUCUGUAACUGACGCUGAGGCUCGAAAGCGUGGGGAGCAAACAGG